UCUUCCCCAAACUCAGCCAUCUCAUGUUUCUGUGAUAGGAGAGAUCUGCAUGACACAACUCUGUCUCUUCCAACAGUGAAACAAACUGCCUGUGGUUUAAAGAUUCUGCUCUUGUGAAGUUGACCACUUUAGUGACUGUAUUCACAACAUGGCUCAUUUUCAGAACACAUUUACAGAGCACGUCCUGAUGAGUAAUGCAAUGCCCAGGGUUGACGAUUGUGUGGACCGUGUUGGCGCUGCUAAGGUUACGAAAUGCUGGGACCCUUUUGGUCUCUGUACCGGUGCUCGCUGCUCCGGAUUUCCAUCGUCCAUUUGCUUUGUACACCGAUGUCAGCGACGUGAGAGCAGGAGCGUUGCUCCUACAGAAAGACGAUAACAUCGUUGAGCACCCUGUGUGGUACUUUUCAAAGGAAUUUGACACAUAUCAGAAACACAAGACCAGGCCUGGGCAAAGGACGGGCCGUGAUCUGAUUCAAUAUGGCCCACAGAAUCAUGCUCCGAUCACAUGAAGAAUUUGUGAUAGUAAAGUUUUGAAAAGCGAGUUUGACUUGCACGUUGGGCGAGUGCUCCAGAUGAAGACUGUAGUCAACGGUGACAACAGUGGCCACAGGCAGGUGGCUGGUUUCAACAUGUUGAUAUGACACAGACAGGUUUGUUUUCCUAUGCUCAGGUGUGGCAAUAAAUUAAUCCAGAUUACACCUUUUUUUCACUAUGGUGUUAAGGGCCUGAAAAGCGAGCUUGCCACAGAACAGACAACAAAACCAGGAUUUGGUCAUCCAUAUCGAAAAUGGCACAGUGCAAUUUGUAUCAAAGCGCUAACGUGUUCCAACAGAUUUGUUUUUGGGGGUAUUGUCCUGCAACAACCUCUCUCUCAGAAAGCUCAACAGACCACUGACAUGAUGUACAAUCACAAGCUCAUUUGGACUGAAAUCAAGAGAUUCCUGAACAAACGUCUGUGCUGCAAAGUGCACCAGUCUUUCAUCCCAGUCUUUCAAUCUGAGGAGCAGUUAACUCAAAUGUGUUGGUUACUACAUGAUUACACGUGUUAUUUCGUAGUUUUGAUGUCUUCACUAUAAUUGUACAAUGUAGAAAAUAGUUUUUUUUUAAAAAAGGCUUGACUGAGUAGGUGUGUCCAAACUUUUGACUGGUACUGUGUCUCAGAAAAAAGAGGGGAGAGGGAAACAUAUUUGCCGAACAGCGUAACCAGCUCCUUCCUUGACAUUGAGGUGUCAACUGUAGGCACCCCUUCUUCCUUCAGUGGUCCUGGAAACUAGUUCACCUUAGGUUUUUAGAAAAAGGAUAGGUCAACUCAGGAGGUUUACCGAAAUCAGGAUCACACAAACGUCUCAGACAGAUCAAACAUGGUGGGAUUCCUCAACACUACACUUGCUCCCAGCAACUUUCUUAGACAGCGGGUGCACAUGCUGGGAACACUCUAAUGGUAGGGUUGUGCUUACAUGGCCAUACUCGUAUUCGUAUCUAUAAAUUCACAGUUGAUAAUUGGAUCAGAUUAUACUUGUGAUUGGAAACAACAGAAGUUGUUUUAAUAUGCCUAAAUAAAUGUUGGCAAAAUACAUCCCUGCACGUUUUCAAUGCAAAAAGAGUUGCAGGAUGUGUGUGUGUCUGUGUGUCCUUCAACUUGAAGCGGGCAGCCAAGUUUGCUGUCUCUCAGUCAGGAUGCGCAUCAGCAUUUCAUCCUUUUUCCCUACCCUUGCCACGCCUGUUAGAUAUUAUGCACAUUGAUAGCGUCAUAGCAAAUAUCCUCGCCAUGGUAUGGCAAACGAGCCGGUCGAGUUAUUUCGACCACGUGGAACCUCACACAUGACUGACUCAACGACAAUACAGUAUGGUUAGAAACUCGGACUGACUGACAUGAGAAAGAUGCUUGCUGGCACCAGAAAAUAACACGGAUCAUUACAAAAAAAUACUUGGAUUAUAAUCGUAUCCAGAAAUGUGCCUAUAUCCUUUAUGAUAGUUGUUUUGUCCGACUACUCGGCACACCCCUACUCUAGGGUACUGAUAGGUUUCAAUUCAACACGCUGUGAGACAAUGUAUCCUUUCUCACUGUGGUAAUGACAACCUGGGGGAUACGAAAAACUUUCCUGACGAUCUUUGUCUUUGGGAUAACUACUGGGUGCUUUGUUUGUGAAGGUAGGUUUAUGUGUCAACACAGACUCAUCUGCAAGGACCAGCUUCCUCAAGAGUGAGAUUCUUGUGGUGUAUAAUGAGGUAGCAACCCUUUUGUGAAGGCAAUACUUGAACUGCUCGAGUGGUAUGAGUCUGUAACCCUUUCCUGCAGGUAAUGAACAAAAGCACCCUCUUUGGCCUCAUGGGUGGAAUGUUCGUAUUUUUCAUAAUUCAUACACAUUUUUAGUUUUUUUAAACAAUGAAAAUCUGGUGUUUCUAUGUCAAACUGUUUUGUUAUAUUUCAGUCGUCUGUGAUGACUGAAAUAUUGAAUACAUUAACUAUCUGACACGGUACAGGUGUCACUGUUUUCAGCCUAUAACCAUUGGUCACGUGUGCUUCCUCUCGGCCUCUAGGUCAACAGGCUGCUCGUUAGGGAGAACACCUGUCACCAGUGUUACGCACAUAAUGACACUCACCUGGACUCCAUGACCUACUUGAUUACCUACCCUUUACAUGUCACUCCCUUUGGUUUCUUCCCCAGUCGUCAUUGUUCCUGUUUCAUGUCGGUGUGCUGUUUGUGUUUCUUGUUGUGUUUAUUUAUUAAUUAAAUGUAUUCACUCCCUGAACUUGC